UGGGGAAUCUUGCGCAAUGGGCGAAAGCCUGACGCAGCAACGCCGCGUGCGGGAUGACAGCUUUCGGGUUGUAAACCGCUUUCAGGAGGGAAGAAAAUGACGGUACCUCCAGAAGAAGCCCCGGCCAACUACGUGCCAGCAGCCGCGGUAACACGUAGGGGGCGAGCGUUGUCCGGAUUUAUUGGGCGUAAAGAGCUCGUAGGCGGUUUGGCAAGUCGGGUGUGAAAUUUCGAGGCUCAACCUCGAAACGCCACUCGAUACUGCCAUGACUGGAGUCCGGUAGAGGAGUGCGGAAUUCCUGGUGUAGCGGUGAAAUGCGCAGAUAUCAGGAGGAACACCAACGGCGAAGGCAGCACUCUGGGCCGGUACUGACGCUGAGGAGCGAAAGCGUGGGGAGCAAACAG
rnacentral:rRNA from 1 species